UCCGGCUUAUCACCGGCAGUCCCUUUAGAGUGCCCAACUGAAUGGUGGCAACUAAUGACAAGGGUUGCGCUCGUUGCGGGACUUAACCCAACAUCUCACGACACGAGCUGACGACAGCCAUGCAGCACCUGUGUUCCGGUUCCCUUUCGGCAAAAUUCAAGGGAUGUCAAGCCCUGGUAAGGUUCUUCGUUUAUCAUCGAAUUAAAGAACACGCUCCACCGCUUGUGCGGGUCCCCGUCAAUUCCUUUAUGUUUUAGUCUUGCGACCGUACUCCACAGGCGGGAUACUUAACGCGUUAGCUUCGCUACUGAAGGGGUCGAUACCUCCAACAGCUAGUAUCCAUCGUUUACGGCGUGGACUAC
rnacentral:misc_RNA from 1 species